GCCACUGUCAGUGGAGCAGUUGGAGCCCCGGUACAGUUUGCCUGGUCGCAAAUACAUCUCUGAAACAGUGCUUCCUAAGCUAUAUGAGACAGUGCGUGAACACAUUUCAUGUAAACUAAAAGAUGUGCAAUCAAUCAGCUUUACUACCGUCAUCUGGAGCUGCGACGCGACCCCACUGUCUUUACUAAGUUUGACAGUACACUGGGUGGACACGGUGACGCCGUCAUCUUUUACUAUUCAAAGUGCAGUGCUGCAAGCUAACGAGCUUCGUGGGUCACACACCGGCAAGUCCAUAGCUGAAGCAAUUGAGGGGAUGCUUGUGAAGUGAAAUAUCUCUAAGUCCCAUGAUCAUGUUUGUUUGUGCGACAACGCGAGCAACUUGAAAAAAAGCCAUGGGCGAGAUGGGUGUGUCGAGUUUGGGGUGCUUCGCACACUCUCUCCAACUGGUGGUACACAAAGGCCUGUUAUCACAGAGAAGUGUGAGUGAUGCUCUGGCGAACUGUAGGAAGAUAAUCGCCAUUUCAAACACUCACCAUUGGCCACAACACGCCUGGAGGAUAUUCAGAGGGAUCUAAAAAUCCCCACCAAACGUUUGCACCAAGAUGUGGCGACAAGCUGGAAUAGUACUUUUUAUAUGGUAGAGAGUUUACUUGAGCAGAAGAGGCCGAUUUCAGCAUACGGAGCUGAUCACGACCUGCCAGCCACAUUGACAGCCAACCAAUGGGCUUUGCUGGAAAAAACUGUCACUGUUUUGGCACCAUUUGAGGAACUGACCAAGCAGAUUAGCUCCUCCACCAGUUGCAACUCUCUUGGAUCCACGUUUCAAAGACAGAUACUUCUCAAGUGCAGACAACAUCAAGCAUGCAAAGGAUGCUCUGACAGUAGAGAUGGAGAAGAUUGAGAAGUCACUGAAAAUGACCACCACAGCUGUAGCAGAGACAAUAGCAAAAACCCCAAGAAAACGGCACGAUUGGAUUGGAAGUGCAGGUAGGCGGCAGCAGCUGCAGUGAGAGUAGCUUGAAGGGCCUGUUUGAGGAAAUCCUGCAGGAGCAUGAUGAGGAAAUGGUGCAGGUACUACAAGCACACCAUGUUCAACUUCAGACAUAUGUGAUGGAGCAAACUAUCUUACACUCAGACAGCCCAUUCCAGUACUGGGCAGUCAACCAAGUUCGGUUUCCCGCUGGCUGCCACUGCUGCAAAGUUUCUCUGCGCACCUGGUACCAGUGUGGACAGCGAGAGACUGUUCAGCACAGCAUCUAACAUUGUGGAUGCAAAGAGAAACCGGCUAGGAGGAGAGAGAGCAGAAAUGCUCAUUUUCCUGAAAAAGAACUUGCCAUUGUUAUUGAAAUUGUGAGCAUUUCUAAGUUCCCACAGCAGUGUGUAAUCUAGUUUAAGUUACUUGAAAUAUGUAUAUUUUCAUUCUGGGUUUAAUAGUGCUCUUGUU
rnacentral:lncRNA from 1 species